rnacentral:misc_RNA from 1 species
UUUCCGUAGGUGAACCUGCGGAAGGAUCAUUACAAAUCUCUGCGAGUGCUGGGCUUGCCUAGUAACUCACAUUAGCACAGGGUCGCAAGGCUCUGAUGUUUACGCUUGUUUGUUUGACAGAGUUAGUUGAGAAUAUAAUAAAGACAACUUUUAACAAUGGAUCUCUUGGCUCUU